ensembl:piRNA 21ur-2887 ncRNA
UCUUCGAAUCCAUGCAAAGCU